UACGUAGGGUGCAAGCGUUAAUCGGAAUUACUGGGCGUAAAGCGUGCGCAGGCGGUUGUGCAAGACAGAUGUGAAAUCCCCGGGCUCAACCUGGGAAUUGCAUUUGUGACUGCACGGCUAGAGUGUGUCAGAGGGGGGUAGAAUUCCACGUGUAGCAGUGAAAUGCGUAGAUAUGUGGAGGAAUACCGAUGGCGAAGGCAGCCCCCUGGGAUAACACUGACGCUCAUGCACGAAAACGUGGGGAGCAAACAGG
rnacentral:rRNA from 1 species